CUUUGGUGCUAUAGGUAGCACUUCAGUCUCCUAAGCUGAAGGUCCUGAGUUCCAUCCUUAGAAG
rnacentral:tRNA from 1 species